rnacentral:lncRNA from 1 species
AUGUAUACAUCAUAUAUAUCAUAAAAAAUUUAAAUUUCUACAUCAUAUGCAACAUACAAUUCAGAUCAUAAAAUUUAAUUUUUAUAUUUAAAUUUAUUUUAUUAAAAUUAUAAUUAAUCAUAAAUUAAUUUAGAUCUAAUCUAAAUAUAUUUAUAAUUAAAAUAAUUUUAAAUUUUUUUCACUAUUUUUCAUCAUAAGAUAUGAUCAUAAUGGCACCUC